UAUUUUUUCUAUAUUUAUCUCUAUCCUUGAAUUUUGUUGUUCCACCAGCAUCAUCACCAUCAUUUUUUUUUGUAUUUUCUAUCUUUAUUUAUCUCUAUCCUUGAAUUUUGUUGUUCCACCAUCAUCAUCACCAUCAUUUUUUUUUGUAUUUUCUAUCUUUAUCUCUAUCCUUGAAUUUUGUUGUUCCACCAUCAUCAUCACCAUCAUUUUUUUGUAUUUUCUAUCUUUAUUUAUCUCUGCCCUUGUAUUUUUUGUUCCACCAUCAUCAUCAGCAUCAUUAUUUUGUAUUUUCUAUCUCUAUUUAUCUCUAUCCUUGAUUUUUUUGUUCCACCAUCAUCAUCACCAUUUUUUUUGUAUUUUCUAUCUAUUUAUCUCUGUUCUUGUAUUUUUUUUUGUUCUACCAUCAUCAUCACCAUCAUUAUUUUGUAUUUUUGUUUUCUCUUUAUCUCUGUUCUUGCAGUUUUUGUUCCACCAUCAUCAUCAUUAUCUUCAGCAUUUUUGUUCUGUCUUUGUCUCUGUCCUUGUAUUAUUUUUCCUCCUCCUCCUCCUCCACCACAACCACCACCACCACUUUUCCUUUGUUUUCUCUUUAUCCAAUCCCAAUGUGACGGAGAUGAGCACCGCAGCCACGCGCAACCAUAGCGUAUAUGCACCUAACUGUACUUUACUUCUAUCUCUGUCUUUGUAUUUUCUUUCCUACGACUACCAUCACUUCCACUACCAUCACCCUUACUACUACUACUACCACCACGAUCACCAUUUUUGUAUUUUUGUUCUUUCUUUAUUUCCAUCUUUGUAUUUUUUUUUCCCUACGACCAUCCCUACCACUACCACCACCCUUUUAGUUUUCCUUUUUUAGUAUAAUAUUUUUAGCCUGCGAGCGUCUAUUUCCGUUCCCCCUUCGUAAUCUCUACUCCUUUUUUCUCUAUUUCUGCUUUUUCUUUUUACUUCCUAUGGGUAUUGGUUCCACAUGCAUUUUGGGGGAUUAUGUUAAUGCGUGCGCACAUUAGGUAUACAUGAUGACGGAAUGAGUGUAGAUAGAGGAUGUGUAAACUGCAAAACAAACAAAUAAAAUAGAUAGUGGGUGUUGAUGAAGUGGUAAUAUGUAUUGAUGAUUUAAAUAGGCAAGGUAUUCUUCCUAUGUUUAACUGCACACUCUUCGUUAUUCUAAAUUUAAAUAGACAAGGUAUUCUUCCUAUGUUUAACUGCACACUCUUCGUUAUUCUAAAUCUAAAUAGACAAGGUAUUCUUCCUAUGUUUAACUGCACACUCUUCGUUAUUCUAAAUCUAAAUAGGCAAGGUAUUCUUCCUAUGUUUAACUGCACACUCUUCGUUAUUCUAAAUCUAAAUAGACAAGGUAUUCUUCCUAUGUUUAACUGCACACUCUUCGUUAUUCUAAAUUUAAAUAGACAAGGUAUUCUUCCUAUGUUUAACUGCACACUCUUCGUUAUUCUAAAUCUAAAUAGACAAGGUAUUCUUCCUAUGUUUAACUGCACACUCUUCGUUAUUCUAAAUCUAAAUAGGCAAGGUAUUCUUCCUAUGUUUAACUGCACACUCUUCGUUAUUCUAAAUCUAAAUAGGCAAGGUAUUCUUUCUAUGUUAACAAUAUAGAUUAAGGUUUUGGUCCACGUGUCAGCAAAACAAUUGAAUAUUCACAAGGAAAGGUGGAUUCGUCUUUACAUGUCCGCCCUUCACCUUUCCGUUCCUUGCAUCAGUAAUUUUCAGCGGCGGAGGAAUUUUUAGUUUCGCAUGACGAUCACAUGACUCCUUUGUUUCCUAGUAGUCUCUCUCUCUCUCUCUCUCUCUCUCUCUCUCUCUCUCUCUCUCUCUCUCUCUCUCUCUCUCUCUCUCUCUCUCUCUCUCUCUCUCUCUCUCUCUCUCUGCAUCUCUUCCCCUCCAAUCCCUUCCUUCCUUACAUUCUUCACUCCUCCCCCAACUCUUUUUCUCUUUCUUCUUGUUUUUUUUUUCUUCUUCUUCUUCUUCUUCUUCCUCCUCUAUGCAUUCACUGUCCACCAAUAUCUAGGCUUCGUACGAGAACACAAAUUUACUUCUUUAAUCCUUACUUGCUUUUUACUUCUUUCUCCGUGUUUCUUUGCCUAUUGCUCUUUACGCUAUUGCUGCAAGAUACCCUGAACACACACACACACACACACACACACACACACACACACACACAGAAUGGCCCACAUAUAUAUACACAACAUGGCUCAUACAUGAUAAUUUCGUGUUCCUGUGGUCUUUCUUACCAGUCAUUCUAUACCGUUUAAUAUGGAGAGUGAGUGUAUUUCGUAACGCCAAGAUGUGUGUGGGUGUAUGUGUGUGUGCGGGAAGGGAGGGGAGGGAGGGGAUGGGAAGGAAGGGAACGUGAUGGCUGUCUACGCAGUGACAAGACUGGAUAGAGUGGAUAUUUUUGGAAGUUUUGGUGUCUUAGAUAUGGAAGAGGAGGAGAUGGGAAAGAAGGAAGAGUAUACGUUAAGGAAAAAGAAAAGAAGUGGGGGAGGGAGAAGAUUGGAAUAGAGUGGACAUUUUUGGUAGUUUUGGUGUCUAUGGAAGAUGAGGAGAUAGGAAAAAAGGAAGAGUAUACGUUAAGGAAAAAGAAAAGGUGGGGGAAGGGAAGAUUGGAAUAGAGUGGAUAUUUUUGGUAGUUUUGGUGUCUAUGGAAGAUGAGGAAAUGGGAAAAAAGGAAGAGUAUACGUUAAGGAAAAAGAAAAGGUGGGGGAAGGGGAAGAUUGGAAUAGAGUGGACAUUUUUGGUAGUUUUGGUGUCUAUGGAAGAUGAGGAAAUGGAAAAGAAGGAAGUUUACGUUAAGGAAAAAGGAAAGAAGUUGGGGAAGGAGAAGAUUGGAAUAGGGUGGAUAUUUUUGGUAGGUCUUAGAUAUGGAAGAUGAGGAGAUGGGAAAGAAGGAAGAGUAGGUUAAGGAAAAAGAAAAGAAGUGGAGGAAGGGGAAGACUGCGAAGGAGACAAAGUAGAAGUAGAACAACGAGAAAAAAGUGGAUGUAGAAGAUGAAAAUGAACAAUGGAGAAGAAAAGGGGAUAAAAAUAGGCAUAAAAAAGGACAAAGAAGCAGAACAAGAAAAUAAGAGCAAGAAAAAGAACAUAGUCGAGAAGAAGAAGAAGAAGAAGAAGAAGAAGAAGAAAACAAAGGAGGAAGAGGAAGAGGAAAAGGAGGAGGAGGAGGAGGAGGAAGAGUAAAGUGAGUAAUGCUUGGAUUCAUUCACCCUUCCUUCACAGUCAUUCUCCUUCAAUUGAUCGCUAAUUCGUGCAUGCAAGGCCAAGGACACACACACACACACACACACACACACACACACACACACACACACACGUGCUUUAUUGGACACUUCCCUUUCCUGAUUAAGACCCAUUUUUGGAAAGUUUAUUCUCAAUGGCCACUUUCCUUCCCAAUGCCUUCCCUUUGAGUGCGUGAUGCGUGCUUGUAAUGGCGACUUCCUUUGACCUUCCUACUGUUUGUGUAUCUAUAGUUUCUGAUGAUACUUUUAUGCUUUCUAUGUUUAGCUGCACACUCUUUGUAUUUCUUAAUUUAAAACUGUAGGGCAAACUAGACAAUGGAGGUUAGGUCAGGUUAGAUUAAGCUAUGUUAGGUUAGGUUAGGUUAGGUUAGGCUAUGUUAGGUUUGGUUAGGUUAGGUUAGGCUAGGUUUGGUUAGGUUAGGUAUACAUGAUGAGGGAGUGUAGAUAGAGGAUGCGUAAACUGCAAAACAAACAAAUAAAAUAGAUAGUGGGUGUUGAUGAAGAGGGAAUAUAUGUUGAUGAUUUAAAUAGGCAAGGUAUUCUUCCUAUGUUUAACUGCACACUCUUCGUUAUUCUAAAUUUAAAUAGGCAAGGUAUUCUUCCUAUGUUUAACUGCACACUCUUCGUUAUUCUAAAUUUAAAUAAGCAAGGUAUUCUUCCUAUGUUUAACUGCACACUCUUCGUUAUUCUAAAUUUAAAUAAGCAAGGUAUUCUUCCUAUGUUUAACUGCACACUCUUCGUUAUUCUAAAUUUAAAUAAGCAAGGUAUUCUUCCUAUGUUUAACUGCACACUCUUCGUUAUUCUAAAUUUAAAUAAGCAAGGUAUUCUUCCUAUGUUUAACUGCACACUUUUCGUUUUUCUUAAUUUAAAUGGACAAUGUAUGAGUUCAUUCUAUAGUUAAGUGGGCACUAUAUGAAUUCUUGUAUACAUAUAUGGACACACAUGUCUUUAAAUAUAUUGAUGGCUUGCGCUGUAAUUUUUUCUUUAUUUAAAUGGACGCUAUAUUUGUCUUUGUAUACUUCGAUGGAUAGUGUAUUAAUUUUCGUGUAUUUAAAUGGUCACUGAAUAUAUUUAAUGCGAAACUGUAAUUCUCGUCUUUUGUGAGUCUUUUUUUAUACAAUGCGUGGGUGUAAUGUCUUUUUUUCUUUAUUUGCUUUUUAUUAUUUUUAUCUAGUGUUUUUGCGUGGUAGUAAUGGUCAUCUUUUUUUCUUUAUUUGCCUUUUAUUAUUUUUAUCUAGUGUUUUUAGUGUGGUAGUAAUGUCUGUUUUUUCUUUAUUUGCUUUUUAUUAUUUUCAUCUAGUGUUUUUUGUGUGGUAGUAAUGUAUUUUUUUCUUUAUUUGACUUUAACUAUUUUUAUCUAGUGUUUUUUGUGUGGUAGUAAUGUCUUUUUUUUCUUUAUUUGCCUUUUAUUAUUUUUAUCUAGUGUUUUUUUGUGUGGUAGUAAUGGUCUUCUUUUUUUUUAUUUGCCUUUAAUUAUUUUUAUCUAGUGUUUCUUUGUGUGGUAGUAAUGGUCUUUUUUUUCUUUAUUUGCCUUUAACUAUUUUUAUCUAGUGUUUUUUGUGUGGUACUAAUGUCUUUUUUUUCUUUAUUUGCCUUUUAUUAUUUUUAUCUAGUGUUUUUUGUGUGGUAUUAAUGGUCCUUUUUUUUUCUUUAUUUGCCUUUUAUUAUUUUUAUCUAGUGGUUUUUUUUUGUGGUAAUAAUAGUCUUUUUUUUCACUAUCUACGUCCAUUGUUUCUGCCGGCACUUCUUUCUUCAUUAAUAUUUGUGUUAUUCAUAUAGACACUACAUGGUUUCUCUUUUCACCUUUACUAAUUCAAUUCAAAGUUUUUUUCUGACACUUAUUUUUCUAUCAAUCAAACUUAUUCAAAAUUAUUCAAAUGCACAGUUUUAGCGGUAACUUUUUUCCAUUGGUUUUCGCAUUUUACUUUCCUUUGGUCUUCCCUAAUCAGCACUUUUUCAUCACAUACUUUUGUUUUCUCUCUAUUUUUUAUCCUUUUUUACUCUACAACUUCAGGUUCACGUGAUGUAGACUUCCUGCAAACAUUUCUCUUUUACUUUUGUCACUCUUUAAUUAGUACCAAAUUCACGGCGCCAUUUUAACUUCUCUUUUAUAGUCUUUUUUUUCCACCUUUAUUGUACAACUUCAUAUCAUACAUCUUUUCAGUUUACACUUCUUUUUUCUUUUCCAUUAUUUUGCAUCACUUCAACUGCUCACCUUAAUAUUACAAAGACUUUCAGCAGGUUAUAUUAUUGCAUAGCUAUUUUUACAUACUUUCAGCGUCUUAUAUUAUUGUAGAACUGCGUUUACAUACUUUCAGCAGGUUGGAUAAUUGCACAGCUGUUUUUGUAUACUUUCAGCAGGUUGGAUUAUUGCACAGCUGUUUUUAUAUACUUUCAGCAGGUUGGAUAAUUGCACAGCUGUUUUUAUAUACUUUCAGCAGGUUGGAUAAUUGCACAGCUGUUUUUAUAUACUUUCAGCAGGUUGGAUAAUUGCACAGCUGUUUUUACAUACUUUCAGCAGGUUGGAUAAUUGCACAGCUGUUUUUACAUACUUUCAGCAGGUUGGAUUAUUGCACAGCUGUUUUUAUAUACUUUCAGCAGGUUGGAUUAUUGCACAGCUGUUUUUAUAUACUUUCAGCAGGUUGGAUAAUUGCACAGCUGUUUUUAUAUACUUUCAGCAGGUUGGAUUAUUGCACAGCUGUUUUUAUAUACUUUCAGCAGGUUGGAUAAUUGCACAGCUGUUUUUACAUACUUUCAGCAGGUUGGAUAAUUGCACAGCUGUUUUUAUAUACUUUCAGCAGGUUGGAUAAUUGCACAGCUGUUUUUAUAUACUUUCAGCAGGUUGGAUAAUUGCACAGCUGUUUUUACAUACUUCCAGCGUCUUAUAUUAUUGUACAACUGCUUUUACAUACUUUCAGCAGGCUAGAUUAUUGUACAACUUCAUUUUACAAAGACUCUGCAGGUCAUAUUAUCGUACAACGUGUAACUAGGUAGAUUUUCAGCAGGUAUUUUGUCUUACUUCGUGCGUGUCCUUUCAGUUUAAUCAUGGCCUUCUCAGCACGCACUUUCCUCCCUUUUCUUUUAUCUAUCUUUAACGGGUCUUGAUAUAACGUACAACCUCACAUCAUGGGUUUUAUGCAGAUAUUUUCCUCUUUCUUUUCUCUUUUCUAAUAAGCGCCCUUUUCCUGAACACAUUUCUACUAUCUAUAUUUUCUCCUUUAAUUUCCCUUAGUUUUUUAUUAUUAUUAUUAUUAUUAUUAUUAUUUUAUUUUAUUUUAUUUUUUUUUUUUUUUUUUUUUACAUGUCAGCCUAUAGCACCGGUAGGCUUCUCUUGAGGGGCCUGGAUGGUAGUCGCCCCCAGCCCAUCAUGGCGCAGGCAAGUGUUUUAAAGUGGCGCCAUCUUUUCUUGUACAACUUCGUAUUUAGAUAUCCAUAAAAUAUUUCCUUUACCUUUAUUAACAUUUUUUUAUUACGAACUUUUGCAUUACACAUUUCUCCAUUUCUUCUUCUCCAAUGAUUUCUAAACCUAUUUCACAUUUACCCUUUUCUUUUUUUAUCGCUUUAUCACAUUUUCAUCACACAUUUCCCCCUCUUCUCCCCUUCCAUUCUUCUCCUCUCAUCACCCCUCUCCCAUCACAAAACAUCACAUCACAUAGAACAAACAAACAAACACGUUUUCCUCUUCCUCCUGUCUUUCCUAAUUAGCAUCCAUUCAGCACGCACUCUCUCCCUCCCUCUCUUUUUCUGUUCAUUUUUAACACGCAACUCCAUUCUUUUUUUCUCCCUCUCUUUUCUCUUGGCGGGGAACACAGAGGGAGGCGGGGAGGGCAGGGAGGGUGGCGGCUUUUAUUAUUAGCAGGAUUUCAAAGUAUUUUUCAUUCCUCUCCCUUUCAUUUUACUACGCGGACAGUUAGUGUGGAGGUGAGGCCAGGUGAUCUACUGAGCUGGUAAUACUGCAGUGCUUUGGUGGUGGUGGUGGUGGUGUGGUGGUGGUAGUGGUGGUGUGGUGUGGUGUUGCUGAGUGUUGUUGUGUUGGUGAUUAUGUUAGUGCUGUGUUAGUGAUAGUGUUGUUUGUCAUGCGUUAGUGAUGUUAGUGGUGCUGUGUUGCUGUUGCUGUGGUGGUGGUGGUGGUGUUGUGUUGUCGGUGGUGUGGUGUGGUGUUGCAGUGGUAAUGCUGUGUUGGUGGUGGUGAUAAAGUGGUGUUGGUGUAGGUAAUACUGUGUUAGUGGUGUUGCUGAUAGUGUUGUUGUGUUGGUGAUUGUGUCAGUGAGAGUAUUGUUAGUCGUGUGUUAGUGGUGGUAGUGGUGCUGUGUUGCUGUUAGUGUUGGCGCUGAGGUGGUAGUGAUAGAAGUGGUGGUGGUGGUGGUGGUGGUGUUUUGAGUGUUUUACUGUGGUGGUUAAGUUUUUAUUUCCUCUUCUUUUCUUUCUUUCUCUCCUUCUUUAUCCUUAAGUGGUUGACAGCGCAGUUCUGAGAUGAGAGGUUUUGCUGUCUUCUAAAAAGUUUGUGUUUCUUUGUGUUGUACCUCAUUUCCAUGCGGAUGUGGCAAGGCCCUUCCUUACUGCGCAUUUUUUUCUCUCUUUCUCUUCUUCGUAUUCCUCCUUCUCCUCCUCCUCCUCCUUUUUCUCCUCCACCUCCUUCACCCACGCAACACUCCUAGUUUAGCUUCCACGCAGAUGUGAGUGCAAUUACGGACACACACACACACACACACACACACACACACACACACACACACACACAUGUACACAAUAACCUUGACUGCUUGUUGUCGUUGUUGUUCUUAUCCUUGUUGUUAGUUUAC